UCCUACCGCGUCUGACUCUGGGGCUACCAACUUGGUGUUGCUGAUCAUAGACUGGGGACAAGAUGGCAACCAUUAACUUCAUGAGCCUGCAUGAGCUGGUUCUAGUACACUGCUGACUCUCAUCAGCGACCGCCUCCUUAUUAUGUGUCCUAGAAUGCUCCUCCAUUCCUUUCUUUGCUGUGCUGAACAAAGAACAAUACUUGUGAACCAAGCGCUAAUGGGGACGGUGAGGAGACAGGAAUAAGGUGUGAUAGAGAUGUCUAACUAAGUGCUGAAUACUCCACUGUCACUUCUUCUCAGCACUUUGCUUUUGAAAGACCGUCAGGAGCACAGUCCAGCAUCGUCACCAUCUCCUGCAUCAGCAUGUGCUCCCAGGGCAGAAACCUUGCCAAGAGUCUGUGUUCUGCUGCAGAACUGUGAUAGCUGCUGUUCAUUCCCUUAUCAGUCCCUUGCUGCUUUUAAUAAACUCUUUUUGUAUUUCA